rnacentral:piRNA from 1 species
UGCCAUAAAGACAACCAUCAAGCACUCAAGG